CUCUAAUACAGUCGGGGGAUGACGGUACCGGAAGAAUAAGCACCGGCUAACUACGUGCCAGCAGCCGCGGUAAUACGUAGGGUGCGAGCGUUAAUCGGAAUUACUGGGCGUAAAGCGUGCGCAGGCGGUUUGCUAAGACCGAUGUGAAAUCCCCGGGCUCAACCUGGGAACUGCAUUGGUGACUGGCAGGCUAGAGUAUGGCAGAGGGGGGUAGAAUUCCACGUGUAGCAGUGAAAUGCGUAGAGAUGUGGAGGAAUACCGAUGGCGAAGGCAGCCCCCUGGGCCAAUACUGACGCUCAUGCACGAAAGCGUGGGGAGCAAACAGGAUUAGAUACCCUGGUAGUCCACGCCCUAAACGAUGUCAACUAGUUGUUGGGGAUUCAUUUCCUUAGUAACGUAGCUAACGCGUGAAGUUGACCGCCUGGGGAGUACGGUCGCAAGAUUAAAACUCAAAGGAAUUGACGGGGACCCGCACAAGCGGUGGAUGAUGUGGAUUAAUUCGAUGCAACGCGAAAAACCUUACCUACCCUUGACAUGGUCGGAAUCC
rnacentral:rRNA from 1 species